GCCUAGACUAAGCCAACAGUGAAGGCUUUUAGGUCCCUUCUGAGUGAGACAGUGAGAAAGAACUUCUGGGGUUACUAUUUGUAACUAUUUUUGAGCUUGCAUAAAAAGGAAUCUGCAGUUCCUGGAACUCUUUGAUACUUUCCUAAACUAAAAAUCUUGAUUAAAGUUACCUUAAUCCCAGCGUUUGGAAGCAGGAGGACCCAAGAGUUCAAGGUCACGCUGUUACACAGUGAAUCCCAGGCCAGGCAGUUCGACAUGAGAACUUGCCUCAACCAACAAACAAAAUCAAAUCAAAUAAAAUAAGUUUUAAAGUUACCGCAAAAAGUAACCAAAGGAAGUUUAGACCGAGGGAUGAAAGUGGGUGGAGGCGUGGAGAUUACAAGGGUUGUGAGGGCAGCUGUGGGGGAUACCCCGGGAUUCAAGGGCAUCUCCUGUGGAUGAGGUGUAGUCCCGGAGUCUGGCUGCCUACAUCCAAGGCUGUAAGAUGCUGCCCGUGAGAGCCUCGCAGAAGCUGGGGCUGGGGUGGGACUGGAAAGCCGGAGAGAUUUAAAGCUUGGACCAUGACCCGGAAGUUCAAGUUCAGUGACCAGAAGCAGGUUCUUAGGGUGAACCGGGAAGUUCAUUUGGGCCCUGUGACAUGUAGUGCGGAUCUUAAGAAACCAAGUGUUAAGUGUUCAUGCUUCUUUCCUUUCGAAGCUGUAGGAGUAGGGGUGACAUGCGCCGCAGUGGAUCCAACUUUCUGGAGAAGGGACAAGUUGCAGCGCUCCCAAUGUGAUCGACUUUAGAGUUUUUGGAAAGACUUCUUGCUAAGAUGGCAGCUUGAGUAACGACCAGAGGAGUAGAAGCAACUAAUUUGAGCCAUCAAAUGCACAGCUAGUAAACAAGUCUGCUGCCUGCCUGACAGCCUGAGUUGGAUUCCCAGCAACCCGCAUGGCAGGAAGGAGAGGUCUGACUUCGCUGAGGUGUCUUCUCACUCCCACACGUGUUUUGGCACACACACGUGCAUACGUAGUACCCCUACCGUAAGUAAAAGAAGUGUAAUUUAAAACAUUUUAAAGAUGUCUUCU
rnacentral:lncRNA from 1 species